rnacentral:rRNA from 1 species
UUGGGUGAUGAUGGCAGAGAGGUCACACUCCGUUUCCAUACCGAACACGGAAGUUAGUCUCUGCUAGCGCCGAUGUAGUUGGGACUUUGUCCUGUGAGCGUAGGACGUCGCCAAGC